rnacentral:rRNA from 1 species
UACAGAGGGUGCAAGCGUUAAUCGGAUUUACUGGGCGUAAAGCGUGCGUAGGUGGCCAAUUAAGUCAAAUGUGAAAAUCCCCCGAGCUUAACUUAGGGUAAGUUAGCAUUCGAUACUGGUUGGCUAGAGUAUGGGAGAGGAUGGUAGAAUUCCAGGUGUAGCGGUGAAAUGCGUAGAGAUCUGGAGGAAUACCGAUGGCGAAGGCAGCCAUCUGGCCUAAUACUGACACUGAGGUACGAAAGCAUGGGGAGCAAACAGGAUUAGAAA